rnacentral:rRNA from 1 species
AGAGUUUGAUCCUGGCUCAGGAUGAACGCUAGCUACAGGCUUAACACAUGCAAGUCGAGGGGCAGCAUGGUCUUAGCUUGCUAAGGCCGAUGGCGACCGGCGCACGGGUGAGUAACGCGUAUCCAACCUGCCUUACACUCCUGGACAGCCUUCUGAAAGGGAGAUUAAUACAAGAUGUUAUCAUGAGUAAGCAUUUUCGCAUGAUUAAAGGUUUACCGGUGUAAGAUGGGGAUGCGUUCCAUUAGAUAGUAGGCGGGGUAACGGCCCACCUAGUCUUCGAUGGAUAGGGGUUCUGAGAGGAAGGUCCCCCACAUUGGAACUGAGACACGGUCCAAACUCCUACGGGAGGCAGCAGUGAGGAAUAUUGGUCAAUGGACGAGAGUCUGAACCAGCCAAGUAGCGUGAAGGAUGAAGGUUCUAUGGAUUGUAAACUUCUUUUAUACGGGAAUAAACGAAUCCACGUGUGGAUUUUUGCAUGUACCGUAUGAAUAAGGAUCGGCUAACUCCGUGCCAGCAGCCGCGGUAAUACGGAGGAUCCGAGCGUUAUCCGGAUUUAUUGGGUUUAAAGGGAGCGUAGAUGGGUUGUUAAGUCAGUUGUGAAAGUUUGCGGCUCAACCGUAAAAUUGCAAUUGAUACUGGCAGUCUUGAGUACAGUUGAGGUAGGCGGAAUUCGUGGUGUAGCGGUGAAAUGCUUAGAUAUCACGAAGAACUCCGAUUGCGAAGGCAGCUUACUAACCUGUAACUGACAUUGAUGCUCGAAAGUGUGGGUAUCAAACAGGAUUAGAUACCCUGGUAGUCCACACGGUAAACGAUGAAUACUCGCUGUAGGCGAUAUACAGUCUGCGGCCAAGCGAAAGCAUUAAGUAUUCCACCUGGGGAGUACGCCGGCAACGGUGAAACUCAAAGGAAUUGACGGGGGCCCGCACAAGCGGAGGAACAUGUGGUUUAAUUCGAUGAUACGCGAGGAACCUUACCCGGGCUUAAAUUGCAACCGAAUAUGGCGGAAACGCUAUAGCUAGCAAUAGCGGUUGUGAAGGUGCUGCAUGGUUGUCGUCAGCUCGUGCCGUGAGGUGUCGGCUUAAGUGCCAUAACGAGCGCAACCCUUGCCGAUAGUUACUAACAGGUUAUGCUGAGGACUCUGUCGGGACUGCCAUCGUAAGAUGUGAGGAAGGUGGGGAUGACGUCAAAUCAGCACGGCCCUUACGUCCGGGGCUACACACGUGUUACAAUGGGGGGUACAGAGGGCUGCUACCACGCAAGUGGAUGCCAAUCCCAAAAACCUCUCUCAGUUCGGAUUGAAGUCUGCAACCCGACUUCAUGAAGCUGGAUUCGCUAGUAAUCGCGCAUCAGCCACGGCGCGGUGAAUACGUUCCCGGGCCUUGCACUCACCGCCCGUCA